AGCUUGUUGGUAGGGUAAUGGCCUACCAAGGCGACGAUGGUUAGCUGGUCUGAGAGGAUGAUCAGCCACACUGGAACUGACACACGAUCCAGACUCCUACGGGAGGCAGCAGUGAGGAAUUUUGCGCAAUGGGGGAAACCCUGACGCAGCAACGCCGCGUGAGUGAUGAAGGCUUUCGGGUCGUAAAGCUCUGUCAAGUGGGAAGAAUUCACAUGGCGCCAAUACCGCCAUGUACUGACGGUACCACUGAAGGAAGCACCGGCUAACCCCGUGCCAGCAGCCGCGGUAAUACGGGGGGUGCAAGCGUUAUUCGGAAUUACUGGGCGUAAAGAGCGCGUAGGCGGUCCUUUAAGUCAGGUGUGAAAGCCCGGGGCUUAACCCCGGAAGUGCAUUUGAAACUAAAGGACUUGAGUACGGGAGAGGGAAGUGGAAUUCCUGGUGUAGCGGUGAAAUGCAUAGAUAUCAGGAGGAACACCGGUGGCGAAGGCGACUUCCUGGACCGCUACUGACGCUGAGGCGCGAAGGCGUGGGGAGCAAACAGGAUUAGAUACCCUGGUAGUCCACGCAGUAAACGGUGAACACUAGGUGUAGCGGGUAUUGACCCCUGCUGUGCCGCAGCUAACGCAUUAAGUGUUCCGCCUGGGGAGUACGGCCGCAAGGUUAAAACUCAAAGGAAUUGACGGGGGCCCGCACAAGCGGUGGAGCAUGUGGUUUAAUUCGACGCAACGCGAAGAACCUUACCUGGGUUUGACAUCCCGGGAAUCCAGUGGAAACACUGGAGUGCCCUUCGGGGAACUCUGUGACAGGUGCUGCAUGGCUGUCGUCAGCUCGUGUCGUGAGAUAUUGGGUUAAGUCCCGCAACGAGCGCAACCCUUAUCUUUAGUUACCAGCAAUUCGGUUGGGGACUCUAAAGAUACUGCCCCGGUUAACGGGGAGGAAGGUGGGGAUGACGUCAAGUCCUCAUGGCCCUUAUGCCCAGGGCUACACACGUGCUACAAUGGACUGUACAAAGGGUCGCGAUCCCGUGAGGGCAAGCCAACCCUAUAAAGCAGUUCUCAGUUCGGAUUGGAGUCUGCAACUCGACUCCAUGAAGUUGGAAUCGCUAGUAAUCGUGGAUCAGCAUGCCACGGUGAAUACGUUCCCGGGCCUUGUACACACCGCCCGUCACACCAUGAGAGUUGGCUGUACCAGAAGUUGUUGGACCAACCACACUGUGGAGGUAGGCACCUAAGGUAUGGCUGAUGAUUGGGGUGAAGUCGUAACAAGGUAGCCGUUGGGGAACCAGCGGCUG
rnacentral:rRNA from 1 species